rnacentral:misc_RNA from 1 species
UGCGGAGGAUCAUUAUUGAAUGAACUUGGUGUGGUUGUUGCUGGCCCUUUCGGGGGCAUGUGCACGCCGACCAUCCUCAUCUCUCCNCCUGUGCACCUCUUGUAGACUUGAAUUGACUUUCCGAGGUAACUCGGUCGGGAGGAUUGCCGGCACCAGCUGGCUUUCUUUGCAUUUUCAGGUCUAUGUUUUUCAUAUACCCCAUUGUAUGUAACAGAAUGUAACAUUGGGCCCUUGUGCCUAUAAACCUUAUACAACUUUCAGCAACGGAUCUCUUGGCUCUCGCAUCGAUGAAGAACGCAGCGAAAUGCGAUAAGUAAUGUGAAUUGCAGAAUUCAGUGAAUCAUCGAAUCUUUGAACGCACCUUGCGCUCCUUGGUAUUCCGAGGAGCAUGCCUGUUUGAGUGUCAUUAAAUUCUCAACCUUUAUCAACUUUUGCUGAUAAUGGCUUGNANNUGGGGGUUUAUUUUGCUGGCUUCUUUAUAGAUGGUCAGCUC